rnacentral:lncRNA from 1 species
CACAAUGCAUUGUCCAGGCCCAGAAAGUGUUUACCUUUGUGUAACAAAUGUAACAAGCUUUGGGAUUGGAUUGGAUUGGAUUGUACUAUAAAGAAAAGGAGGUGAGUGGUGGUAAUGUAGAACCUGGCAGUGCAGUGCCAAAAAGGAUGUCAGUGUCAGAUUGCAGAGAGUCUCUAAGAAAUGUGGUAGGACUUUGUCAUAGAGCUGCAAAGUCACGUGACAGCCAUGUGACCAUUGAAGAGAAACCAUGA